AUACUUACCUGGCAGGAGAGAUACCAUGAUCACAAAGGUGUUUCUCCCAGGGCGAGGCUUAUCCAUUGCACUCCAGAUGUGCUGACCCCCUGCGAUUUCCCCAAAUGUGGGAAACUCGACUGCAUAAUUUGUGGUAGCAGGGGACUGCGUUUGUGCUCUCCCCCC